rnacentral:rRNA from 1 species
CGGCCGCGUCGACCAGGAAACUGGGGCUAAUACCGGAUAGGAGCUCCUGCUGCAUGGUGGGGUUGGAAAGUUUCGGCGGUUGGGGAUGGACUCGCGGCUUAUCAGCUUGUUGGUGGGGUAGUGGCUUACCAAGGCUUUGACGGGUAGCCGGCCUGAGAGGGUGACCGGCCACAUUGGGACUGAGAUACGGCCCAGACUCCUACGGGAGGCAGCAGUGGGGAAUAUUGCACAAUGGGCGGAAGCCUGAUGCAGCAACGCCGCGUGCGGGAUGACGGCCUUCGGGUUGUAAACCGCUUUCGCCUGUGACGAAGCGUGAGUGACGGUAAUGGGUAAAGAAGCAC